AAAGAAUGCGCGUUAGAGGAUUUAAUGGGCUCGACAGAGGAAAACUAUGCUAAAUUGGUUAGGUAUUGCCAUAACAUGGAGAAAACUAAUCCUGGCUCGGUAUUUUUUAUUGAGACGGAGGUCGAGAACUGCUUCAAAUUCUUCUUUAUGGCUCUUGGACAAUGCAUUCGGGAAUUUCGAAAUGCUAUGGGACCCCUAAUUCUAGUCGACAGUACAACUUUGAAAUCCAAAUACCAAGGCAAGUUGAUUAUUGCUACAUGUCAAGAUGCUAUUAUCAAAAUUUACCCUCUUGCAUUCGGCAUAGUUGAUAACGAGAAUGAUCUGUCGAUGCGUUGGUUCUUCACAACGGAGACCCCCAUCUCUAUCACCCUCUCGAUCACUGUCUCCGUUAACCCAUCGCCUACCGGCUAUAUCACCUCGAAGUGCUGCAAUCUCAUUCGACAAAUCUUCGACCUUUCCUACCAACUGUCGUCACAGAUCAUCAACCCUAUCUAUCAUCUCUCGACGCAACCCAUCGACCUGUCCCGCUAUAAAUCUGCUCAGACGGGCAUACAGAGGUG
rnacentral:lncRNA from 1 species